rnacentral:rRNA from 2 species
UCUAGAGGCUUCGGCAAUGGGGGCAACCCUGACCGAGCGACGCCGCGUGCGGGAUUGAAGGCCUUCGGGUCGUAAACCGCUGUCAUUGGGGAAGAAUGCCCGGAUGGUGAAUCCGGGAGGGACGGUACCCGAGAAGGAAGCCCCGGCUAACUCCGUGCCAGCAGCCGCGGUAAUACGGAGGGGGCGAGCGUUGUUCGGAUUUACUGGGCGUAAAGGGUGUGUAGGCGGCUGCGCAAGUCUGGUGUGAAAUCUUCACCGCUCAACGGGAAGCGUGCACUGGAAACUGCGCAGCUCGAGUAUGGUAGAGGCAAGCGGAAUUCCUGGUGUAGCGGUGGAAUGUGUAGAUAUCAGGAAGAACACCGGUGGCGAAGGCGGCUUGCUGGGCCAUCACUGACGCUGAGACACGAAAGCGUGGGGAGCAAACGGG